rnacentral:lncRNA from 1 species
GAGUUCGAGCUUGAGGGAAAGAAGCCGUUCGUGCGGUGGGCAUACAUGCGCGGGAACCACCAUUUUUUGUGUCUGUUCAUACUUCUUCUUCUACCUCCAGCCGUGAGAGAGAAAGAGAGAGCUAGGUGCAGGGAACUGCACCAACACAAGGAGCACCCGUCGUCGGCGACAACACGGCCGAUGGUGGUGUCCGCAAAGGAGCGCGUCCCGCCGUUCCCACCUCGGGGAAGCUUGGGUUGUAGGAGCUGGUCGACCCGGCGGUCGGCUCGACGUUCACGCAGAAGCGCAGGUGGUCCUCCGCGCCCGCAGUGUCAGGACUCGACUGAUCUAUAGGAGGAUUUUAUGCAAGAAAUUGGGAAAUUUCAUCUCAGAUCUGAUUUGCAUUAGCUAUAAAGUAUAUGCUUUUGCACGAAGGACAGAACAAUAGAAGAUUCGAUACCAGGUCAGCCAC